rnacentral:rRNA from 1 species
AGAGUUUGAUCAUGGCUCAGAGCGAACGCUGGCGGCAGGCCUAAUACAUGCAAGUCGAGCGGUCGUAGCAAUACGGCAGCGGCAGACGGGAGAGUAACACGUGGGAACGUACCUUUUGGUUCGGAACAACCCAGGGAAACUUGGGCUAAUACCGGAUACGCCCGCAAGGGGAAAGAUUUAUCGCCAAAAGAGCGGCCCGCGUCCGAUUAGCUAGUUGGUGAGGUAACGGCUCACCAAGGCGACGAUCGGUAGCUGGUCUGAGAGGAUGAUCAGCCUCACUGGGACUGAGACACGGCCCAGACUCCUACGGGAGGCAGCAGUAGGGAAUAUUGGACAAUGGGCGCAAGCCUGAUCCAGCCAUGCCGCGUGGGUGAUGAAGGCCUUAGGGUUGUAAAGCCCUUUCGGCGGGGAAGACAAUGACGGUACCCGCAGAAGAAGCCCCGGCUAACUUCGUGCCAGCAGCCGCGGUAAUACGAAGGGGGCUAGCGUUGCUCGGAAUCACUGGGCGUAAAGCGCACGUAGGCGGCUUCUUAAGUCAGGGGUGAAAUCCUGGAGCUCAACUCCAGAACUGCCUUUGAUACUGAGGAGCUUGAGUCCGGGAGAGGUGAGUGGAACUGCGAGUGUAGAGGUGAAAUUCGUAGAUAUUCGCAAGAACACCAGUGGCGAAGGCGGCUCACUGGCCCGGUACUGACGCUGAGGUGCGAAAGCGUGGGGAGCAAACAGGAUUAGAUACCCUAGUAGUCC